ACCUACGGCCAUACCACCCUGAACGCACCCAAUCUCAUCUGAUCUCGAUUAGUACUUAGAUGGGAGGCCACCUGGGAAUACCAGGUGCUGUAGUCU
ensembl:rRNA 5S_rRNA 5S ribosomal RNA